rnacentral:rRNA from 1 species
UACGUAGGGCGCAAGCGUUAUCCGGAAUUAUUGGGCGUAAAGAGCUCGUAGGCGGUUUGUCGCGUCUGCCGUGAAAGUCCGGGGCUCAACUCCGGAUCUGCGGUGGGUACGGGCAGACUAGAGUGAUGUAGGGGAGACUGGAAUUCCUGGUGUAGCGGUGAAAUGCGCAGAUAUCAGGAGGAACACCGAUGGCGAAGGCAGGUCUCUGGGCAUUAACUGACGCUGAGGCACGAAAGCGUGGGGAGCAAACAGG